CCUUUGUACACACCGCCCGUCGCUACUACCGAUUGAAUGGCUUAGUGAGGUCUCCAGAUUGGCUUUGGGGAUCCGGAAACGGAACCCUGUUGCUGAGAAGUUGAUCAAACUUGGUCAUUUAGAGG
rnacentral:rRNA from 1 species